CAGCCAGCCAGCUAGCCAGUCAAACAGGCAGCAGCAACAGAGCCCAGACACGGAGCCGUGUUAUGUGUUGCUAGAGUCACUCGGGCCAGCAGCGAGCGAGCUACUGUCGUUCUUUGUAUUGAUUCAGAUUCAGUCGAUGAGUUUCUCUCGCUUCUGCGCGUUGCGUGUUUCGCAGUGUUUCCGCGAUUUUUUCGUUGUCGUCAUCGUUGCCGCGUCUGCGUGUUCGCCUCGUCUCGUCUCGUCAUACAUUCUCUCUCUGCUCACCCCCCCACACACACACUCUUCGCAAGCUCGACGUGCGGGACUCUGUGCGAUUGUUUUGCGUGCGUGCGUGUGUGUGAGUGUGUGCCCACUCAUAUAUAAAUCUUUUAUUUUCUCAACAUAUAAUGUGAAGUGCGAACGGCAAAAGAAAAAA